UUCUUAUUUUCUAUUUUUUAUAACCAUUUCUACUUCUCAGAACCCUAAAUGAUUCAAUUGGUUUCCAUUGAUGGAUUGCUCUUGUAGCAAUUGAGGUCAGAAGAGAAGAGAAGGUAACAAUGGUGUUCGUGUUUUUCGCCAUUCGGUGUUCGGUUCGCGCUCUCUGCAGUUCGCGUUCUUUGCGGUUCGCACUCUUCGCGGUUCGCGCUCUUCACAGUUCGCGCUCUUCGCUGUGUUCUUCACUGUGUUCACCUUCCUUCGGCCCCUUCUUUCGUUGUUAGUGUUCGUGUUUUCAUUCGUUUUUGUGGAGAAGCCUCGUUCCUCUAUUUCAAACUCUGCGGCGGAGCUGCUCUCCUCUAUCGCCACAGUGGCUAGUCUUCUCCAUGAUGAUGUUCUGGAUGAUGCAAACACCAGGCGUUGUAUUGGUUCAUUAAAUUUUGUAAUGGGCAAUAAGGUUCAUUUUCAAGUGGCAGAAGCACAUUUUUUUCAGGGAGCAUGGAUUAUCAAACCCAAAAGUUCCAAACCGAAAUUUGUUGCACAUUUUAUUGGAGGUAUAUUUGUUGGAGCUGCGCCUCAACUUGCCUAUUGGUGGUUUCUUUAGCGUCCCUUAGAAAAGUAAGUACCUGUGUUUUGUUCUUGAAAUAUUCGAAUUCUAAUCUGAUCAGGCAAUUCAGUUGAAAGAUAUUGUAAUAACAUGUUGAUAGGGUGUCCCCAAAGCUGUUUUUCUUUUUCUUUCUAAUUUCUUAUUACAAAUGCAUAUAUUGUUAUAUUAGCAUAGGACUGUUACAAUAUCCCAUAUCCAUGCCCUAACAAACUCUCUUCUCUUGUGUUAAUUAUCCUUAUGUUUGGAUCAUGUGAGACUGACACUCAUAGAUCUAGGAUCUGUCAAUGGAAAAGGCUAAUUGCAAAAUCCUUUCUGUUACUAGGGGUGUAGUGAUCAUUGCAACACCAUAUGCUAGUGGGUUUGAUCACUUCCUGAUUGCAAAUGAAGUACAGUUCAAAUUUGAUAGGUGCUGCCGUGCGUUGCAAGAAACGAUCCAAGAUCUUCCCAUUUUCGGUGUUGGCCAUUCUUUGGGAUCAGUUGUCCACCUUCUAAUAGGUAUGUUUGAGAUCUUCUGC